AGAGUUUGAUCCUGGCUCAGGAUGAACGCUAGCUACAGGCUUAACACAUGCAAGUCGAGGGGCAGCAUGGUCUUAGCUUGCUAAGGCCGAUGGCGACCGGCGCACGGGUGAGUAACACGUAUCCAACCUGCCGUCUACUCUUGGACAGCCUUCUGAAAGGAAGAUUAAUACAAGAUGGCAUCAUGAGUCCGCAUGUUCACAUGAUUAAAGGUAUUCCGGUAGACGAUGGGGAUGCGUUCCAUUAGAUAGUAGGCGGGGUAACGGCCCACCUAGUCUUCGAUGGAUAGGGGUUCUGAGAGGAAGGUCCCCCACAUUGGAACUGAGACACGGUCCAAACUCCUACGGGAGGCAGCAGUGAGGAAUAUUGGUCAAUGGGCGAGAGCCUGAACCAGCCAAGUAGCGUGAAGGAUGACUGCCCUAUGGGUUGUAAACUUCUUUUAUAAAGGAAUAAAGUCGGGUAUGCAUACCCGUUUGCAUGUACUUUAUGAAUAAGGAUCGGCUAACUCCGUGCCAGCAGCCGCGGUAAUACGGAGGAUCCGAGCGUUAUCCGGAUUUAUUGGGUUUAAAGGGAGCGUAGAUGGAUGUUUAAGUCAGUUGUGAAAGUUUGCGGCUCAACCGUAAAAUUGCAGUUGAUACUGGAUAUCUUGAGUGCAGUUGAGGCAGGCGGAAUUCGUGGUGUAGCGGUGAAAUGCUUAGAUAUCACGAAGAACUCCGAUUGCGAAGGCAGCCUGCUAAGCUGCAACUGACAUUGAGGCUCGAAAGUGUGGGUAUCAAACAGGAUUAGAUACCCUGGUAGUCCACACGGUAAACGAUGAAUACUCGCUGUUUGCGAUAUACAGCAAGCGGCCAAGCGAAAGCGUUAAGUAUUCCACCUGGGGAGUACGCCGGCAACGGUGAAACUCAAAGGAAUUGACGGGGGCCCGCACAAGCGGAGGAACAUGUGGUUUAAUUCGAUGAUACGCGAGGAACCUUACCCGGGCUUAAAUUGCAGAUGAAUUACGGUGAAAGCCGUAAGCCGCAAGGCAUCUGUGAAGGUGCUGCAUGGUUGUCGUCAGCUCGUGCCGUGAGGUGUCGGCUUAAGUGCCAUAACGAGCGCAACCCUUGUUGCCAGUUACUAACAGGUCAUGCUGAGGACUCUGACAAGACUGCCAUCGUAAGAUGUGAGGAAGGUGGGGAUGACGUCAAAUCAGCACGGCCCUUACGUCCGGGGCUACACACGUGUUACAAUGGGGGGUACAGAGGGCCGCUACCACGCGAGUGGAUGCCAAUCCCCAAAACCUCUCUCAGUUCGGACUGGAGUCUGCAACCCGACUCCACGAAGCUGGAUUCGCUAGUAAUCGCGCAUCAGCCACGGCGCGGUGAAUACGUUCCCGGGCCUUGUACACACCGCCCGUCAAGCCAUGGGAGCCGGGGGUACCUGAAGUGCGUAACCGCGAGGAGCGCCCUAGGGUAAAACUGGUGACUGGGGCUAAGUCGUAACAAGGUA
rnacentral:rRNA from 1 species